GCGGAAAUGGCGAAAUUGGUAAACGCGCAAGAUUCAGAUUCUUGUUGGGAAAUUCCCAGUUGCAGGUUCAAAUCCUGUUUUCCGCACCA
rnacentral:tRNA from 1 species